UAAAAUCUUAGUGGCGGACGGGUGAGUAACGCGUGGGUAACCUGCCUUACACUGGGGGAUAACACUUAGAAAUAGGUGCUAAUACCGCAUAAGCGCACGAAGCCGCAUGGAUUUGUGUGAAGAACUCCGGUGGUGUAAGAUGGACCCGCGUCUGAUUAGCUUGUUGGCGGGGUAACGGCCCACCAAGGCGACGAUCAGUAGCCGGCCUGAGAGGGUGGACGGCCACAUUGGGACUGAGACACGGCCCAAACUCCUACGGAAGGCAGCAG
rnacentral:rRNA from 1 species